GCAGAGAAGAGUGAUUUCCUGUUUGUCCCUGCUUAUACUCUGAUUCUGCCCAGCUAUUUUUUUUCCUGCCUGUGUGUAUAGACCUCCAGACCUCAAUGGUUACCUAGUGGCCCAGCUUCAUCAUUUCCUGGGAUCACAUGACAACUCCUCUCUGACUACACUUCCCAGAAUGCGCCUUGCCCUACCAUCACCCAGCCUGGCCAAUCAGUAUUUUAUUCAUCAACCAAUACGACAAAUAUAUAUAUACACAGAAGAACAUUCCCCAUCAGCAUGACAAGAGGUGCAGUAUGGAAAGUGAUCUGCCCAGAGAGGAUACAUUAAAGAUACUUCCACCAUCAUUCAGAAAGUGAGAAGCCACAAUCAGAAAGAAACGAGACAUGUAUCAGUGACUGAGCCAUCAGAUAAUGACAACUACAUGAGCAGUCUCCAAUGAGGAAAGCAGAGUUGCCUUCUGAAGCCAGUGAACCCAAAGAAAAAUAAACCACUGCUGUUGUGAGCCACUGGUCUGGAGAGUCUGUUAGAAGCAAUGAGCACUAAUAGGCAUACCUUCUUGUUCUGCUUUUGGACCGAGAACGCUGAGCUCUAUAGGACUUCCCUCGACCCCUGGAACGACUUCGGCUUCGUUUUCUUCGGGAGCCAUAGGAAGAGCUGCUGCUUGACCUGUGCCUGCGCCUGAAAUAAACCACAGGUCUCACUGCCAUGCAAAGUUUUGGUUGUGAGAAUUCAGGGAGAGUUUGAAAUUGUCUCAUUCUUGCUGUUUCCCUCUUGCCUCAAAGAAGAGCAAGUAAAUAAAACAUUACUGGUCUCCAACACCCAGACAGAUGACUCACAGCAGGACUAGUAAUAUUUAUGAUAUUAUGGGUCAUAGCAGUAUACAAUCUUUCCAAAUAUCAUCAAAUAAUGCAAGAACUAUACCAGCUUCUAUCUGCUUGCUUACAUACAAAGGAUGUAGAUACUAGGCCUGAUUAGGAAAAAAAAUGAAAAAAAUAAAAAAUAAAAUCUCUGCGUUGGGAUUUAACCCUCCUAAGUACCUAACUACUAAAAGAGCAUUAUUUUAUUCAACAAAUUAAAAAUACAAAAUAACAUGACUUCUUAGGAACAUUACUCUCUGUGUUGUAUAAACAAAAAUUAUGAGCAUUAACCUUCUCUCAUAAGAAUGGGAGCGAGGCUGACGGUCUCUAGACCAGGACCUGGACUCGGACCUUGGCCGCCUCCCGCCCUUCUUGUGGCUGUAUGUCCGGCUGUCUGAAGAGCUGCUUGAAGAGGAGCGUCUCCGGUGUUUCUUUUUUCUCUUGCUUCUGCUUUCUUCCUCAGUGUCUGAUGACCGGCGUCCCAUCUCUACAGUUUACAAUAAAACAUUCCUAACUUAGCAGUGCAACAAAUGAAAUUCAAGAUACAAACUUUUAAAGUUUUCAAGAAAAAAAAACUAUGUUCCCUAAGCUGGGUCCAACUGAUUUUCCUCCCAUGCCUCCAGAGCAGCUAGGACUACUGGCACACGCCACCACACCCAGCCACACCUUAACAUUUUUAAAGUAAAAUGUGGUUGGCUUUUUUUUCUAGGCAUGUGACACAAUCUCCUAGCUUAUCAAUGAACUUUUUACAUAUUCUGAACAACUUGAAUUUGCACCAACUUUUUUGAAUGUCUUUUGAAUAUCAAUCCUAAAGAAAGUUCAUCAUAUCAAUUUUCUGACAGCUUAAGUUGCCACUAUAAUUAACUGUAUGAUAAUUUUGUUUAGUAAUUAACCAUUUAGUCCUCCAUUUUUACACUCCGUGAAGGUAAAAGACACUUUAGAGUCAUAUUUUUCAAGCAGAGUUCUAAAUACUUAAAGGUUUGGUCUCUUUUUUUUUUUUUUUUAGAUUUUACUUAAGUUUUAUUUUAUCUGUAUAAGUGUUUGCCUGAAUGUAUGUCUGUUCACCACAUGAAGCAUUGCCCAUGGUGUCCAAUGAUCGUAUCAGAUUCCUUGGGACUGUGGUUACAAAAGCUUGUGAGCCGCCAUGUGGGUGCUGGGAAUUGAACCUAGGUCCUCUGGGAAAUCUGUGCUCUUAACUGGUGAGCCACCUCUACAGGCCCUGAGUUCUAAAUAUUUAAAAGGGAAGACCUUACCAGUCAUUAUGGAAGUAUGAGAUGAAACAAUGCACUAUCAUCAUUUCACUUAUGAAACUGAGGGAAGAAAAGUUAACUGAAGUACAAAAGUUGAUACUUACUGGGAAGUCAGCCAGCUCUUUACACAACGCUAGCUUGUUAUGAGUCUUUCAGAAAUCAUACAGCAAUUUAAUUUAAAAAUAAAAAGAAUUCUGAUACUUUUUUGACA